GAGAAACUUUCCGCUUGCGGAAAGGAGUAAAGUGGCGCACGGGUGAGUAACGCGUGGGUAACCUACCCCUGGAAUCGGGAUAACUUCGCGAAAGCGGCGCUAAUACCGAAUAUGGUCCCUAAGAUGAUGGUCUAUGGGAUCAAAGGUGACCUCUUCAUGAAAGUUGCCGUUCAAGGAUGGGCCCGCGUACCAUUAGCUUGUUGGUAGGGUAACGGCCUACCAAGGCUACGAUGGUUAGCUGGUCUGAGAGGAUGAUCAGCCACACUGGAACUGGAACACGGUCCAGACUCCUACGGGAGGCAGCAGUGAGGAAUUUUGCGCAAUGGGGGAAAGCCUGACCCAGCAACGCCGCGUGGAGGAUGAAUGUCGUAAGAUUGUAAACUCCUGUUAGAGGGGAAGAAUAAUUCCGAUCGAAUCGGAACUUGACUGUACCCUCAGAGAAAGCUCCGGCUAACUACGUGCCAGCAGCCGCGGUAAUACGUAGGGAGCAAGCGUUGUCCGGAUUUACUGGGUGUAAAGGGCGCGCAGGCGGGUCCGUAAGUCAGAGGUGAAAUCCUACAGCUCAACUGUAGAACUGCCUUUGAUACUGCUGAUCUUGAGUAUGGAAGAGAGAGACGGAAUUCCAGGUGUAGUGGUGAAAUACGUANAUAUCUGGAAGAACACCAGUUGCGAAGGCGGUCUCUUGGUCCAAUACUGACGCUGAGGCGCGAAAGCG
rnacentral:rRNA from 1 species